AGUGAGGUGGCUGAGCUUAAGCAAUAGACUGUAGAUCUAUCAACGAAUUAUAUUUCCCUCAUUA
rnacentral:tRNA from 1 species